rnacentral:tRNA from 1 species
AAAUAAGAAGCGAUUUAUUGCACUCAGUUUCGACCUGAUCUUUAGGUGUUUUUCACCCUUAUUUU